UUUCACGCCAAUACGACUCGGAUUUAUCCCGACACUCUCCAGAGCUGUCGACAAGCCUCUCCUGCUGAACACCAAGGAUACCACAUCCUCCCCCAGUACAAAAAGUUUCGUCCUCGAAACUUAACACGUACCUCAACCCUGAGCAUCAAACAAGUAGGGAUAGGACUCCCUCAUCACCGUCUCAGGCUCCCAAAUUGCCUCCCGCUCCUCGUGAUUACUCCACUGUACUUUUACAUACGGGAUGACUCAAUUGCGCAAUUCUUUCGUCUCCCGAGCAAUAAUCCGCAACGGCCACUCCUCGUAUCUCAGAUCCUCACCAAUCUCUAGUGGAGUGGAGUCGAUCACGUGAGAAGGAUCGAACACAUAUCUCUUCAAUGCUGAGACGCGGAAGACAUCAUGAAUGCCAGCUAGUCGCGGGGGUAGAGCGAUCCUGUAAGCAACUGGUCCAACUCACUUCAAUAACUCAAAACGGCCAACGAAACGUGGACUAAGCUUUCCACGUACUCCAAAUCGGGGAAUCCCUCUGGACGGCGAGACUUUGAGGAAAACAUGAUCUCCAACCCGGAACUCUAAGUCUUGUCUCCUGGUAUCAGCGUAGCUCCUCUGGCGGCUCUGGGCUAUCAAAAGGUGCCGACGAACAACUCUCACCUUUUCCUCAGCCUCAAGCAAGAUCUCAGGCCCUAGUGUCCUCCUCUCACCCACAUCACUCCAAAACAAAGGGGAUCGACAUCUGUGUCCAUACAACACCUCAAACGGAGCCAUCUGGAUGCUCGUUUGAUAGCUGUUGUUAUACGCAAACUCAGCUAAUCUCAAAUAUCGAUACCACCCUCCUCCAAAAUUCAGGACGCAUGCUCUCAGCAUGUCCUCUAGAGUUUGAAUGGUCCGCUUUGACUGACCAUCUGUCUGUGGAUGAAACGCUGUGCUGAACGGUAACUGCGUACCUAAGGCUGCCUGCAAACUCCUCCAGAAGUGUGAUACAAACCUCGGAUCCCUAUCAGAUAUGAUUGAAAUCGGCACGCCAUGCAACCUAACAAUCUCAUCCAGAUAUAGUUGCGCGAGUCUCUCUCUGGACCAGGUGGUCUGAACAGGUAAGAAGUGAGCAGACUUGGUCAGUCUGUCCACUAUCACCCAAAUAGCAUAAAAACCACCCUGUAGUCUCGGCAACCCCACAACAAAAUCCAUCGUGAUCUGCUCCCAUUUCCACUCGGGCACUGGCAGACACUGAAGCUUGCCAGCAGGUACCUUAUGCUCGGCCUUCACCUGUUGACAAGUUAGACACUGAGCCACAAAUCUGUCAAUGUCCCUCUUCAUUCCGUUCCACCAAAACUGUGCCUUCAAGUCUUUAUACAUCUUGGUUCCACUAUGGUGAACCGUAUAAGGAGAAUAAUGAGCUUCUCUCAAAAUAUCCGCUCGAAUCUCUGCAUUCAUAGGCACACACAGUCAGUCCCUGUACCGUAGUACUCAUGAACUGUCCACAGUAAAACACUCAGCCUGUCCCCUAUCUAGCUGCUCUCGAAUCCUCGAUAAGUAUAGAUCUCCACUCUGUUUCUCUCGGAUCCUAUCCAGCAAAGUGGGCUGCAAAAUCAGAGACAUUAGUCUCGCAGUAGAUCCAGAGGACACUACCUCGAGUCUCAGCCGCUGCAACUCCUCAAGUAACGGCCUCUACUGUGUGAUCAUCAAACUCAAGCUCUGCACUGCCUUCCUGCUCAACGCAUCUGCCACCACAUUCGCCUUGCCUGGAUGAUACUGAAUACUAACGUCAUAAUCCUUCAGUAACUCCAACCACCGGCGCUGCCUCAGGUUCAGCUCCCUCUGGGUGAACAGAUACUUGAGGCUCUUAUGAUCGGUGAAAAUCUCGCAGUGCUCGUCAUACAAGUAAUGCCGCCACAACUUCAAUGUAAAGACUACCGCGGCAAGCUCCAAGUCAUGCGUAGGGUAAUUCUUCUCAUAAUCCUUUAACUACCGCGAAGCAUAAGCAAUUACCCUACCAUGCUGCAUUAGCACACAACCCAAUUCGCAGUGCGAUGCAUCACAAAAGAUCACAAAUCCUUCCCCUAUCACUGGAAGGGCAAGGAUAGUAGUUGACAUCAAUCUCUGUCUCAACUCAUCAAAGCUCCUCUGACAGUCGUCACUCCAGACAAAACGAAUCCCCUUUCGAGUCAAUCGAGUGAGCGGUGUGGAAAGCUUCGCAAAGCCUUCCACAAACCGAUGGUAAUACACUGCCAGUCCCAGGAAACUCCUCACCUCAGUAACCGUCGUCGGUCUAGGCGAAUCCCGAAUAGAAUCAAUCUUCUUCGGGUCCACUGCUACUCCCUCUGCAAAAAUCACAUGGCCUAAGAAAGCAACCUCCCGUAACCAGAACUUGCACUUCUUUAACUUGGCAUACAACUUCUUCUCUCGUAGAAGUUGUAACACAAUCCUCAAGUGCUCCUCAUGCUCGACAUCGCUCCGGGAGUAUAUCAAAAUGUCAUCGAUGAAGACUACUACAAAACUAUCCAAGAAUGGCUUGAACACCCUGUUCAUCAAAUCCAUGAAUGCGGCAGGGGCAUUCGUCAAUCCAAAAGGCAUCACCGUAAACUCAUAAUGCCCGUACCGAGUCCAAAAAGCCGUCAUGGGAACAUCCUCGGCCCUCACCCUUAGCUGGUGGUAACCUGACUGGAGAUCAAUCUUCGAAAAGACACAAGAUCCUUGCAGCUGAUCAAACAGAUCAUCAAUGCGUGGCAAAGGAUACUUGCUCUUGAUGGUCACUUUAUUCAGCUCUCGGUAAUUCACGCAUAACCUAAGUGACUCAUCUUUCUUCUUUACAAAUAACACCGGCGCUCCCCAAGGCGAUACACUGGGUCUCACAUACCCCUUAUCUAUCAGAUCCUGAAGCUGCGCCUUUAGCUCUCUCAGCUCCGCCGGUGCCAUCCGAUAACGCACCUUAGAGAUUGGUGUAGUUUCAGGAACUACAUCAAUCACAAACUCAAUCUCCCUCUCCAGCGGCAUCGUCGUCAACUCUAGAAAAAACACAUCCAGAAACUCUCGGACUAUAAGAAUAUCCUUGUCCCGACGCCGCCGUAUGUACCUCUACAACUGUUGCUAGAAAAAUGAUACAACCACUACUCAGCAUCUGUCGAGCCCUCGCCGAAGAUAUCCAGGUGGCAAACAACGUACUCCUGUAGUCUCUAAAAGUAAGCUCCUCCUGGCCUGGCUCCCGGAACGUCACUGUCCUCGCUCCACAAUUGAUCGUAGCAUAGUACCGCGCCAGCCAGUCCAUACCGAGCACAACGUCAAAGUCCUGCAACUGCCCUAGCACCAACAGGUCUGUAGGCAUAAUCCACGAAUCCAACUACACCGGACAUGACCAAUAACACUCUGCAACCUGUAACACAUGGUCGGGGAUGUGUACCUCUCGUGCCUGAGACAACGUCCCUAACUCUAGACCAUGCAACAAUACAAAUGCUCGACUAAGAAAGGAAUGCGAUGCACCGAUAUCAAAAAGUGUAAGAGUUCUAAUGCGAGAAAUCAAAAUAAUACCUACCACCACGCGGUCGGCUGCUGUGGAGUCCUCCACCUUAGCUGCAUGACACGGCUACUCGAUGUCUGCUGUCGCCGCUCACUCUUACACGGCACAGAUGCUUUAUUCUCCUGACGGUAACUCGACGGUGCCCCCUAAGACUGCAGGGAUGCUUGCUGUGCAGAUGCUGUGGACGGUGCUGGUGAUGCUGCUCGAUGACAAGCUGACCUCAUAUGCCCUUGCUGACCGCAACUAUAACACCUGCCCUCUCUCUGCUCGCACUGCCGGGGCCAGUGGGGUCCCCCGCAGAUCACACACUGCGGUGUCCUCGGUGAUUGUCCCUGCUGACGAGAUCCCGAAGAACGCUGACGCCCCGAAGACCCACGACCCUGAGAGCGCGAUUGUGGUGGUCUCGGCGGACGCCUACUGCUCGACGGUCCUGCAUCAUCUGGAAAGGGCGCUUUCGGUCCUGACUCUGCCCCACUGCCUAAGUUCUCUCCGGAAGCGACACUUCCUCCCUCUCCACCCAUAAGGCCUGCUCUAUGGAUGCAUCCAGGGUUCUCGACCUCUACGCAUGAACCAACCUGAAGAUAUCGGGUCUCAGCCCCUGCUCAAACAGAUAAACCCUGUGUGCCUUGUCCCUGGCUACAAACAGCACACAGUUCAAGAGUCGAGUAAACUCCCGAAUAUACUCCUGCAUUGCCGAUCCCCCUGUUGAAUCCUCUUCAAAUCCUCCUCGAGUUUCUGUUUCACACUGUUAGGAAAAUAUAUCCCAAACAGCAUUCCACAGAACUCAUCCCAUCUCAGCUGCAACGCUACUAGUCCCUGAUCUCGCCUCACUCUCCUCCACCAGGCGUGUGCAUCACCUACUAAGCAAUGGACUCCCAAAGAAACCUGCUCCCACUCAGGAAUGAACAGAUCCUCAAAUAGCUUCUCCAUAGCACUGACCCAUCCCUCAACGACCCAGGCCUCAGUACCACUGCCAUCGAAGGUCGGCGGAUCAAAACGGCGAAAACGAGCCAGCCUCUUGGUCAUCCGCUCCUGCUCGGCCUCGGUCAAUUGUCCUGGCCCUCUAGAAGGCGCAACCGGCACUGCAAGAAUAUCCACUAGCGGGGGUACAGCUGUGGCUGGUGUGGCGGCUAAAGUAGUCGGAGGUGGAACAGCCGGCUCUGGUACUCUCGGUACUAUACUCGGUGGCGGAGCUACCCUCUCACACAACCUCUCCAACAACUCCCCUUGUCGCCUCGUCACCUCCGUCAAGGCAGCCAACUGUGCACUCAAAUCAGGAGGUUCACCCACCUCCGGUCGGGCCCUCUGCUCCGCAACAGGGGGUGUACUCGCCUCUGCCUACUUUGGCAUCUCAGGAGGUACAGCACGAUCCUGAGUCAACUGUGCACGAUCUCGCGUACACGGUCGACCUCGGCGACGAUAUAUAGCUGCAAGAAACAGAACGGGGUCAGAUCAAACAAACACUCUCGACCCAAUCAACGACAGUCUAGAAGACGGCCUCUGUUUCUCCUCAAAAUUAUGUCGUCUGCAGCCGAAAUAAUUUUUCUCGACCGAAAUAGAAACUCCUUCAAUAACUCAUUCCACUCUAGGAGUAGUUAAAAUAAUUAAUCAUUGACUUUGGCGAUAAAUCACGCCUCUCGCGUCUUGCCUCCUAAGGUUUGCCAAACUUAGGGUUCCUAGGUCCCAACGACCUAAUACUAAGCUCUAAUACCAACUUAAUCUGUCAUGCCCCAGAUAUCACGUUGUACGACACGCCGACAAAUCCGCCGUAUACAAAGAAAUUUUUCCUGUAUAUGAAACAAAGCUGUAACUGUACCUGUAAUAAUACAACACUAAAACCAGUAGUAUAGAGCUGCUAUGGAAAAUAAACAUAACCUGGUAGCAAAUAAAAGUUCACUAUACAUACAACAUCUGUAUACAAAAGCUCGCCUCGCGAGAAACAGUAAUGACAUUAUGUAUAAGAACUCAAAAACUACAACUACCUGCAGCUGGCACUCCACUAGCUCUGGCUCGUCUCGUAGGGCUCUAACUCGCGACGCCCUUGCCACGAUCAGGAUCAGCAGCAGCCGACGACGACGGCUCUGCAAAACGAAAAGGAACAAUAGGGCGUGAGAACUACUGUGAAAACAAGUAGUCCUCAGUGGGUGCAGCCCUCAAUAUCAUCGGUCCACCCACUAAGUCUACAAAAGGGAGCAAAGAUAGUAGAAGAAUGCUGUAAGAGAAUCUACAACUACAAGUCACUACACUAUCAUGCUCUAUACUAACCAACUAUAGGAAAUAUCAAUUCUGACCCAAUCCAACUGGGACUAUAAGCAUACCCGUCCCUGGGACUGUGAACACACUCGUCCCGCCCGGUUGCGACUAUACAGCUACCUCCACACUAAGCGGUCUGUGGAGAGCAAGUCCAAUGUAACCCCCCGGGGUCUCGGAAGGAAUUAUCGAACUUUAGCCAAAUCGACUAAAGUAUGCGAAGAAGAUGGAUGGACAAGUCCCAAUUAACAUUCCAACACUGUUGGAAGGGUUAAAAGUAAGCUCUAAAAGAGUUGGAAGGGUUUUGGCAUCGAACGGCGCGAAGUGGAGCGGAAUUUAAGUCAAAAAUGACAUUCUGGAUGUUUUGUACCGGUACAAACCCAAUGGUUGUACCGGUACAACCAGCGAAGCUCUCGGGUUGGAGCUGCCAGGCCUUGCACCGGUACAGGGGGCCUUGUACCGGUACAAGCCCUGCUUAACCGAGAGAACCAGCUCUCGGGUUGGGCUGUCUGCCAGGCCUUGUACCGGUACAAGACCCCGUGUACCGGUAUAAGGAGCCCGAACAGCAGGAGAUGUUUCAGAUAUGGAAAAAAUAGAGGGGCUUAUUUGCAAAUAUGCCUAUAUGAGGCAGAGGGUCCACUCCCCUCUCAUUUCCCUCUCAUUUCUCUCCCUCUCUCACACCUCUCUUGCUCUCUCUCUCUCUAAACCGAAAAGAGAAAGAAAGAAGAAGAAGAAGAAGAAAGGAAGGAGAGGAAGAACAAGAAAAGAGGAGGAAAGUAAGGAGAAGAUCAAGGAGAAUGAGAAGAAGCUCAUCUCCCUUCUCUCUUUCAAGCUAAAGCUAGCUUUGGAGCAAGCUUUUAGAGGUAAGCUCUGACCCUAAAAAGGCAUUUCUAGGGUUUAGGGUUUUGGUUGCUUUUGAGUGGUUCAAAUGGAACCCAUUUGAGUUAGAGAAGAUGGUUCUAGCUCACAUUGAAGCUUUGAACCAUGGAUUGCACCAUUGAUGCAAACAUAGGGUUAGGGUUUGGGUUUUGAACCCUAGAUCUUGGUUUUGAUCUCCCUACAAGUUUUAGAACCUUACAUUAGACAAAAGAACACAUGAAAUCCAAGUGUUCUUCAAGGUGCUCUAAUGGUGGAUUUCUAGGGUUUGUUCUAAACACCCUAGAAAUGAUUCGGAUGCUCCUAGUUGAGCUUCUAGAUGAUAAACAAGCUCUCUUUUGCUUGUUUUAUAGAUCGAAUCCGGAAUAUUGAGCAUAUGUCACAUUAGGGCAUCCCAAAGAGGGAUUUUUCUCAUGUGGGGUUUUGAUCUAUUUUGACCCCUUAGAAACCUAAUUGGGGACCUAACAAACGCGUUGGCGAAGUCGGUUUAACCAUUCAUCGAGUGUACGCGAAGUUAUUGGCCAAAUAAUAUUUUGUCGUACAGAUGGCCGCAGCACGCGGAAUAAAGGUCUAAAAAUCAUGAGAUCAGAACCGGAGCACCUUGGAGUCAAGGAAUAAGCACCGGUAAAGACGGAUCGCGAUUUGGAGGUCGUUUGGAGGUCGCGUAAGAGUGCGGGCCAAACCGGGCAACGAUUGCUGCGGGGGGCCGAUUGCAAGUGACUACAAGCAAUCGGAGAGCGAGUUAAGGUGGGUUGUGUUUACCGAAGCGACUAGGUCGCCAUUAUGUCUAAGAAAUGUUAAAAAUCUAUGUUGAUGCAUAUAAAUGUAAAUGGGACAUGUAUAGGAUUCAUAGAGCUAAUGCUAAUUAAAGCAUGUUGGUAGUAUUUGUAAAGUGCUAUGUAAAUGCUUGACGAGCAUUGCGAGACUAUAAAUAUGCAUGUAAACUAGAAGAGUGCAAGUAAGCACAACGCAUAGAAUGAAUUGCAUGAUGAUGACAUAUUCAUGUAGAAAUGAAUGUUAGAUAAAGUGCAUACUAAUAUAAGAUGUAUGUUAAGUAAACACAUGAACUAUGUGCAUGAACUAGAUGCUAAUGAUAAAUGCAUAAGACAUAUGCCUAGCUAUGAAUGUGAAAUAAGAUUAAUGAACUCUAAGUAGAGUAAAGAAUUUGACAUUGUAAAGUAAGAACCUCGAGUGGCAUGUCAAUUGAGAAUCCUAAGUAUAAAUAACUAGGAUGAUGAGUGGCAAUGAAACCUAGCGUCAUUGAACAUAGGUUAAUGAGAAAGACAUUGAACCUCAUGUUAGAGAACAUAGGUUGAGAGUUAAAGUUAAUGAACCUAGCGUUAAAGUAAUAGGUUGAGAGUUAAAGUUAAUGAACCUGGCGUUAAAGUAAACCUAGGAAAUGUGAUAAAAGUGUUAAACCUAGAGUCAAGUAAACCUAGGUUGGAAAGGAUAAUGGACCUAAGUAGGUCGACACUAUAGGGUUACAAGACCAACCCUUCAGUUAUGUAAAGUGGAUUCCGGAAUCCUGGCUGCGAGUGCAGCGGCUGCCAGUGCAGCAUAUGAGCUCGGAUGUUCUUGGCCGCGGGUGUAUGUGGCAAGGUUCCUCUCCCACCGGAAGAACUUCGAGGUUUGUGAUCGAGCAAGAACAGUGAGCGCUAGGGUGUAUGUGGCACGUUCCUCCCCCUAUCGGGGAUCUCGGCUGCGGGUGUAUGUGGCAUGUUCCUCUUCCACCGGGAGAUCCCUGACCACGGGGUACGCUAGGCGACCCGUUGGGCGAUGUGGUUCUUGGUCUAUAGGCUGAGGUGCAUACGAGAGUUCCUUCACCUCGAGCCGGACAGAGCGCGGCUUAUCCGCUGUCGAUUAACUCAAGAUCGAGUCGGGUGGCAUAGUGUGACCGAGGUAUAUGUAACCUUAGAAAAGAAUGGCAAGUAAAGUACAGAGCUAGCUAAGAAUAAAGAAUGGCUAAAGAAUGAGAAUAACAAAAGAAAAGAAUAAGAAACGGCUAAUGUAAAAGAAUAGCUAAUAAAGUAAAGAAACGUUACAAGUAAAGAAUGGCCGAGAAUAUAAAGUAGGACAAAGCAAUCUACAUGCAUAAGUAUAGGGUUUGCAUAUUGCAUUUUGGGGGCAGGACAUCUUAGUUCAAUAUCUGUUAUAUAUCUGCUACAUGUUAUUGGACUAACUUGUUACAGGGCCUCAUUAGACAUAUCGACCAAGCUUUUCCCUUGGGUGGCCGUACCCACUGGGAACCAUGGAGUUGGUUCUCACCCCACGUGGUUUUGGGGUGUUUACAGGUACACACGUGAGCGGCGCAGCGGCGCGAGGCAAGGGCGUAGCUUCAUAGAUAGCGCCCUACCCCAGAGACCGAGAUAGCGGUACCCGAGUUAGUGGUCUAGCUUGGGAGGUUUAAAGAUAAGAACAAACUUUUAUCAAGUUGUAAUAAAUUGUAGUAAUUUGUGGUUGUAUUCGGAAGUUUAAUGUAAAAGAAACUAUGAUGUAAAAUGUAUCUAAGUUGAAUGUUGUAAUAACUUAGUAGUAUUAUGUGUUUGAUACUUCCUUAUGCAAUCUAUGAAUGAAUACUGUUCCUGGUUGGGACCUCUUGUAUUGUGUGGAUUGCGACGCCUUGGACGUACAGGGGAGACUCUGUCCGUUCGGCGGUCUGUUAACGUGCCCGAACUCGACCAAAUUGGCGGGGCGCGGGGCGUGACAGAUAAGAUAGUAUCAGAGUAUAAAGUAGAAAAUAGGAAUGGUUUAGGCAGACCUAGGACACCCUAGGAUAGUAAACCAUAGGAGACCCUAGGAUAGUAAACCAUAGGAGAAUAAGGCUCAUGAGAGACGAGGACUUGUGAUUCGUGGCGAAAGGUUGACGGAUUGGGUUGUGUCAAAACCUCUAAAACAUAUAUUAGAGGUAGAUUCAAGGUAAUGUUUAUUCUCAUCCGAGGGUGCUCAUGUUGGGUGCACACAAUAUGAAAUCGAGUGAUGAGAAUAGACACCCUUGUGUGACUUUCGCCUGAUUGGCUUUUGAGCCGGUAUUAGUAGUCUCAUGUUCGACCCAAGAUGGUCGAGAACUAAUCGAGUUGUCGUGUUUCAGGAAACGAUGGCACCGCGUAGGCGAUCUUCAUCCAGAUCAACGUGGGAGGGGACAAGUGGUGUCCCUGAGCAAACCGACGCGAGCGGAGGCUUAGAGCUUCGCAGUUAUGUAUAGUUCAGUUUUAAAGUUUUAAAAUUACAGAGAAUACUUGUAUAGUUUAGUUACUUUCACUUGUUCCUAUUGCUUGCCCUCGUGCAAGCCAUAUAUAUUGAAAUGUUAUUCUGGGAAUUGUUUAUUUCUUUAUACAUGUACUCAUUGUUGUUGAGCCUUGGGCGGAUAGGGGAGGUUCUAUUCGUUCGGUGUCUGUGUACGAACUCGAAUCGACCAAAUUGGUGAUAGCGGGACGUGACAGAUUAAAUGGUAUCAAAUACUUUCUCUUUUAGUUGAGAUUUUGGGUUGUGUACCCUUUGUUCUAUUGUUGAUAGUUUUAUUGACUUCUACUAUGCUCUGAUAUCAGGAUAGGAUUCUUUUAUGUUUUACUCCUAUCGACCUGCUUCUUGUAGAUGCCUUAUAUACUGCAGGUGUAUGGCGGGUCUGUGCACGUACCGGAUAUGCUUCCGCUGGUACCCGGGCGUGACAUUUAUGUACCGAAUCGUGCAGGAUAGGAUGUGGAGGUGCGUACGUGCAAAAUACACGCGUGGGCAGGGACUCGGAUGAGAAUAUUCAAUUUUGGGGGACGUUUCUGCAAAAUGCCUCCUGUAUAUAAGCUUGCAACUAGGGUUUCUUUGCAAGAAACCCUAGAUCUAGCCAACCUACUUCCCCAACCGUGCCCUAGCUAGCAUCAGCAGGUCCCUGCCCUAACCAUGCGCGCACCAUGGCCGCCGGCAGGUGCCCCGGCCGCCGAAAAAUAGGAACCCGGCCACCUCUCAUUCGUUCUCUCUCAACUAAUCCUCCACCCUCCUCGGUCUUGGAGCUCAGGAAGCCACUAACUGUGUAGGACCACUUUCCCCUGGCCGAGAUCAACCUCUGACGCCGAUCUCGCCGGCCCCCGCCGUCCCCGUGCACUGCCGGCGCUGCCCGAGCAAGCUGCGGUCAACAGCGGUCACCCAGACCGAGCCUGGGUGAUCUAUGUUUCUGCACGCCGCCGCCGCUCCCCGCCGACAGUGCGGCCCUCCAAACACCUCCGGCGUGCAUCCCCGGACGUCCCUGAAGCCGCCGGCCGACGCUCUUCCACUCUGCGGCCGCCCAGAGCUUGUGCGGGCCGAGGUCGAGCCACCUCGGCCACCGCACGACGCUGCCGCACACGGAGGGGUGCAUUAUGAUCCCCUCGGCCUCCGGCGACUGAUUGACGUCGCCCCAACCUCCUCCGGCCGCCGUCGCGCCGCCGGGAAGCCUUGAACCCGAGAGCAGUUGGCGGGCUUGAUCUCCUCCGCCGCGCCACCGGCUGCCGCCCGCCGCCGGCCAGCACCUACCUCGGACCUCUCAAACCGGCCGCUUUCAUUCUUGGUCGGAGCGCUCGCCGUCCGGCCGCUGAAGACCAACCCUAGCUCCCACUGCUCCGGUAUGCUAUUAUUUUAAGUUCCAGCACUGUAGUUUGGGGUUCCGGUUGUCUUUCCGGCAAUCCGAAGGCACCCUGAUGACUGUGGGAGGGAGCACAAUCAUCGUUAUUUCAUUCUGAACAUCAUGCUCACCUUCGUUGGGGUCAACGGUGCCCCGGUUUGCGCGUUAGAAGCAUUAUUUGCGCUGUACGCGCUGCUUCGUGAUUGUCGCAUCGCUUGUGCGCUUCCCACAGUGGAUGGAACUGCUCUGAAAGGUGAGCACAGCCUCCGGCAUACUGAGACCUAUCAACAGGUGUCUCGGUUUGGCAAAAGAGUUAACAGAUUGCUCGGUUGGACCAUAAAAGCUUAGAAAUCACAUAAAAUAAUGGGAUUUCUUGCAAUCGGGAGGGCUUUUAUGCUUUUUGUUCGUUGUGGCUGCUGUUGGCAGUAAGUAUGAGCUGAGGAUAACCUAUGGACUGAUCGUCCAAGGCCCCAAGCCUUGUCGAAAAUCGGAAAGUGAUUUUCGGAGCAUUUCUUGGCGAAAUCCGCCGACGGAACGCGGGUUCGGUUCGGAAUUAUUCCGAUGGUGCUUCGUGAGAUAUUGUGUAGUCGCUGAGCCUUGUUGGCUGGCCACUCGCGUCAUUUCGAGAGUUCAGAAAUGACGGGUGAGCGACGGUGGGUUCCGGUGUCGAAAUUAACACUUCCGGGAACCCGGAUCGAAACGAUUAUCCGACGAUAAUUGUUUCGACGUGAGGAGUUAUGUUUUCUGUCAUGAUGCACGAUUAAUUAUGUUUAGUGGCAGCGGGUGACUCGUAGCGUGAGUCGGUGUGUUUCGGGACAGUUAGUGGGUCCCGGCGGAGUCCCGGUGCGAUUUUCGGGACUUCCGACGUGUUCGGCAAUCGGUUUUGGGAAACCGAUUCCUGUGGGGCUAUGAGUGGGGAUUGUGUGUUAGCGAUUUGUGUUAGUAGGUUAGAUUCUAACCCGGUGGACCAUUCUUAGGUCUAGUUGACGUUCUUUUGCAGUCAGGAGACAGGAGCGACAUUCGUAGAGGUGGGUACUUCAAUCCGACGUCGGUACAGUGGUGCAUGCUCGGUGAUGGUUUCUUACCCUUGCUCUUUUGUUAUUAUCCAUGCAUAUACUAUAUGUUGAGCUUUGCACCACUAUUGUUUACAUUACACUCUACUCAGAUGUUCCCAUGCUUAGUAUCAGGUGUAGGAGUAGAGUAGUCUAUCUAUUUGUGAUACCUAUGACCUGGUUGGUCGAUUCUUGUACUUCGUAUCAGUGACCUGAUUGGUCGAUUCUCGUACUUCGUAUUAGUGACCUGGUUGGUCGAUUCUCGUACUCCGUAUCAAUGACCUGGUUGGUCAAUUCUCGUACUUCGUAUUAGUGACCUGGUUGGUCGAUUCUCGUACUCCGUAUCAGUGACCUGGUUGGUCGAUUCUCGUACUUCGUAUUAGUGACCUGGUUGGUCAAUUCUCGUACUUCGUAUUAGUGACCUGGUUGGUCGGUUUAUAUAUGUCGUAUCUGUGACGCAUUUGUCGGUUCUUGCAUCUACACUUUUGUUAACCCUUGAGCAGUAUUUGCAUACUUCUGAGAGGAUGUUGAGUUGUUCCAUCCUAGUUGACCUAAGUGGUCAGUUCUUGUUCUUCCUUAUAGUUGAUGACCUAUACGGUCGGUGAGCCCUGUUGGCAGGAUUGUCGGUUGGUUGCUGACGGUUGAUCAUUGAGCAUAUUGCAUUGAUCGCUCGAUACUCGUCGCAUUUCACGAACACUGGCGGUCUGAUCCACCGCAAGGGGUGUUCUUUUCCGAAAAAGUGGUUGCAGGUGUCAACCCGUGAGCCCUAGAGGGGUUAUAUGCAUGGUUGAGUGGCAGUGGUACUGUUAGGAGGUUUGCGGUGCAAACUUCCAGGGCAUAGGCUUGAGGUUUGCGGUGCGGACCAACAGAGCAGCAGAUUCCAGAUUGGGUAUAUUUGGUCUAUACAUCCGGUUGAUGCAUAUGUCUAUAGUAGCAGUCGUUGCAUGCAUACUUACAGUUCUUGCCUUAUAGUUGUCUUGCUACUAUAGUAUAUAUCUAUGUUUGCCUUUUGUUCUAGUUACAGUAGCGGUAGUCUAGUUACUACCUUCAUUAUUUGUGUAGUUUAGUUACUACCUUCGUUAUUUCUGUUGAUAUGACUUAGACAUCUAUAUGGUUCAGUAUUUUAUUAUGUAUAAUUAUUCAAGAUUUCAGUUGGUUUUCCUAAUGAGAUAAAGAUUUCUGGAUUUUUGUAAAAAGGAAAGGUUUUCUACCCCUCGUGGUAGCGUGUUUUAAAAAGAAAAGGUUUCCGUGUGGGAAACAGCUUUCAAAAGAGUUUUCUCAUUAUUUUCUUGAAUUAGUAUUUCAAAAUAAGUUUCUGGCUAGGAAACAUUUCAACUGAUAGUUGUGGAUUUAUAUUCAGAUUAAUGUUUAUGAACCUGUGGUGAAUGGUGUAUGGAUAUUGAAUGUAUAAUGACUUGUAUAUUCAUUUAGUUGUGGUUGUAUCAUAUUUUACAUCUUGUACUUGUGCGACGCCAUGCAAAUACAGGGAAGACUCUGUCCGUGUGAACAGUGGAAUCCCUGUAUUUAUGGCGGAUUUGGCAUACCCUGUGGUCAGGUUUUCAAAAAAAAAAAUUUCUAGUCACUUCCGCUGUAUUUUCAAACUAAAAGGGACCCCGGGGCGUGACAGAUCAUAGCGCUCGAAUAGCUCAUUUCGAACGGUUCGACCAUCCUGGACGCAAUGGCACUGACGAAAUUGGAUUCUGAUGCACGGUUGUCGAGAAAAAGGGGUUUGAUUGGUUUCACAUGUAGUAAUAUAAGUGGCUACAAAGUGAAAACAAAAGAGGGAUAGUUUUGACGCAAAUCGAAAACCAAAUCGGACAAAGUUGUUAGGUCCUAUGUGUUGGCAAGUUUCGUGGGUCGAGUCGGAGUCUUGAAGAAGUCUGGAGCGGCGUAUUGAAGAUCGAAGAAUCCAAAACUUCGAAGAAUCGGAAAGGACGCAAAACACGCAAAACAUGAAUCACGAUGCUUUAAAUCUUGUUUAAGGUGAUUCAUACUUAAUUAUAGAUUUUAGAAUCAUGUUUUCAAGUUAUAAUUGAUUAGAAAGUUUCUAAAAGCUUAUAAAACUCGAAACAAUGCAUUUUCAGCGAAAAUUGCAUUGUUGUAUCGGUACAAGAGUUUUCUGUCCAGGGUACAGCCAUCAGCGUUUGCGCAGAAAAGUUUGAUGGUUGUUCCGGUACAACCAUCAUGGCUGUCCAGUGUCCAAGCCCUGUUUCGGUACAAGAUGCAAUCUGUCCAGGGUACAGAAGCUUCGCAGAAAAAUCUUCCGUCAUGCUGUACCCUGGACAGCUUUUCUUGUUCAGGUAUAAGGUGCUGAUUUUGGAAAAAAACUUUCUAAUCCUACUCUGUUUUGAUUCUAAAGUUUAUAAAUAAGCUAUAGGGAUUCUCUAACUGAUUAAGCAUCAUAAGAAUACAUGUUUGAGAAACCCUAGAGGCUCGGAUUUUAUUCUAAACCUAUUUUCUACAUAAAGCCUCUUUUAGGUCAAAUCGAGAUAUUGAAUUUUCAUAUCUAUAUGUCGAUUUGAUCUCCGCUUUGCUUGGAGUUCUAUUCCCUAGUUUUCUACGAUACUCCUAAGCGAAGGAUCACCAUAAUCAUGAUGCUUUUCAUGAACGGCGUCGUGGAUUCGGCGUGAAUAAAGGUGGUUCGUGGAUUCGGAUCGUUGGCUCGUGGAUUCGAGUGGCGUCGUGGAUUCGGCGUAAUUGAAGCUUCGUGCAUUUGAAGUGGAGGCGUUCGUGGACUCGAACGUGAGGGCGUGGACAACCCGGAGAGUAGCGCGAAGAUUCAUAGGAGGUUAAGAGAGGUUGAGUUCAUGGAGUCGGUAAUCACCUUGUAAUCUUUUCUCUUAGUGAAUUAUUUUUUCGUGUGUUGGUCCCGUGGGUUUUUCUCCAAGUUGGAGUUUUCCCACGUAAAUCUCGGUGUGCUUUUUAUUUUCCGCAUUUAUUUUUAUUGCAUCGAGAUUUGUGGUUUUUGGCCGUACACCUAUUCACCCCCCUCUAGGUGAUAGAUACAAUCUAGAUAGAUCCUUGGGCUCCUCAAAACUUUCACGGAUCAGAAAAUUGGUGGGGUGAGAACUACAAAAAAUUUCCCAGUGGGUUCGGCCGCCGACCCCAUCGACUUUCCCACUAGGUCUAAUCAGGCGUAAGUAGAAGAACAGAUAGAUAGAUAGCCAUUUCUAAAUAAAUGCAGCUACUAUGCCUGAACAAGAAUAAUAACCAAUAUAUGAUGCUCAUGAUGCAUGCCAAUUGCCAUUUUCAAUACCCAAUCCUCUUGGCUAAUGUAACAUAUUGAACUUCUACAAUUAUGAAGUUUCGGUGAGCUUAGAAAGUUGUUGGAGCAGUUUCGACGAAGUUCGGGAACGUUCGAGUGUUUUCGGUACGCGUUGGGCGCGAAAACGAAACUCGAAAAGCUAUGAUUGGACCUUGGCCGAAAUUCGGCAAGACAUGGAUGAAAAGAUGGUUUAAACGUGCUAAAAAAGGUGUUUUGGGGGUCUCGGUACGAUUAGAGAUGAAUCAGAGACCCAACGAGUGAAAACGAGUGAAAACGGAGAAGAAAUGGCGAAAGGCUGAAAUUUGGCUAAGUGCUGAAAUUUGCAGAAUUUCUAGACCUACGGGGUCCAGACCCUGAGUGUAAGGUCCGGAGCCCAAGCCCGAAAAUUGCCCAAGUAGAGUGGCAUUCUUGUAAUUAAGUGGUGGGGGUUUGACUUUAAAGGGGGGCCAUCUUCUUCCUCCCUCUCCCUCAGCCAUUUACACACACAUACACACACACCUUGGUAGUGAGAGAAACACCUCUCCCUCUCUCUAGAUUCCCACUUCCCCUCUCUAGAUCUCUCUCCCAUAAUUGGAGGCUUGGUGGAGAAGAGGCUUGGGGACGCAUGUGGAGCGUCGAAUCGGGUCUUCGUGCACCCGGUGGAGCGGUGUGCUUUCGACUCGGCGUUCGCAUUUUGGUGGGUGUUUAGGAUUUGGUUAAAUCCUUCAUGCAUGAGGUUCUAGUGGUAUCUAGAGUGUUUCUAGCAUGUUUCUCCAUUUAAUUUUGGAUUAUUUGGAGAGUGUAUUCAUGCUAGGGUUAGAAUGAGGGUUUUGGGAUUUGGAGGGUUUUGAUCUAAAUUAACCGUAUAUUUCUCUAAUUGGAGGUUAGAGAAGGGUCCCUGACAACCCUAGGUCGUGGAUUGGUGGGCAUUCGGUGGUCGAGUGCGAGUUCGAGCCGAACCGGACAACGAGUGACGUGGGAGCCCAAUUGCAAGUGUCGAUAAGCAGUCAAAGAGCAAUACGAGGUGGGUUGUGAUCACCGAAGAGAUUAGAUCACUUCCAUGUCGAAGUGAAGUAUUAUUUAUCAUUGAUGCAUAUAAUGAUAGUUAAUUGGAAAGCAUAUGAAUGCAUAACAUAAAUGCUAUGUUGGACUACCAUUGGAUGAUAAUGAUGAUGUAUGGUUCUUAUUGGUGCAUAUAUGUAUAGUGGUAGGUUGUGAAUGAUAAUAUGAAUGCAUGAAUCAUAUUAUGUUAGUUGAUGUACCUACCAUUGGGAUAUGCAUGUGAACAUUAUGAGAACAUGCUAGAUGAAGUAUGCAUGUUGUAAGAUGUUGAAUCCUCGUUGUAUUAAACCACUUUUGGUCAAAAUGACCAAAGCGUGGCGAGAAGGAUGCUUGGACGUGAUCCAUGUGACAUUCCAACAAUAUUGGAAGGGUUAAAGUUGAGUCCCGAUGAGACUAGAAAGGUUUUAGCAUUGCUCGGCGUGAAAUGGAGCUUAAGGCAUUGCUAAAACUGCAGUUGGUUCACUGCGUACCGGUACUGAGGAGGUGGUACCGGUACCAGGCAGGCAACCGAGAGCAGCUGCUCUCGGGUUUGGACAUUUCGGGACUACGUACUAGUACAGCAUCGGGGCGUACCGGUACCCCGCUGCAGAUCGAGGAUAGCAGCUCUCGGGUUUGGCCUCUGCGUAGUGGCGUACCGGUAUGGCUUCGAGGCGUACCGGUACCCUGCACUGCAAACAGCAGGUUGCAGUCUGUUGUAAAUAGCAAUUGUUUUGGGGCUUUAUUACAAUUGUGGCAGCUUAUAAAAGGCCCCACCUCCUCCUCUCUUGUUCACAGCCAGAGAACAUCCCCUUCACUCCAUUUUUCUUUCUCUCUCUCUCUAGAAGCUCUCUCAAGGGUGGAUCUAAGAGGAGGGAUUGGUGGAGAUUGAAGUUUGAAGGUGGAUUUCAUCCUCUUCCUUGGUCUGGAGGAGCUUACAGAGGUAAGCUUCAAACCCUCUCAUGGUGGAUUUCUAGGGUUUGAUUCUUAUGCUCUAGAAUCGGUUUUAAUUAAACCCUUAGAUGUUGAAUAGAUGAUUAUUGCUUGAAUCAUGAAGCUAUACGAUGGAUUCUUGCAAUAGUUAUGAUCUAGGGUUCCAAAGUGGGUUUUGUUGGAAUGAGAUCUAAAGUUGGGAUUGAUCUCUUUUAUACCUAAUUGCUAGGUAAUCGAGCGCGUUGGUAAACUCGGUUCGGCGAUCCGACGAGUCUGUGCGGAGGUAUUAAAGAAAAGCUUGUUUUUGGCUUUGUUUGCCGCAGUCGAGAGAAAUAGGCGGCAAAAAAUUACGAAACUUGGAGUCUAGCUUCGUGGCAUCACCAGAAGGUGAGGGGUGUCCAUCCCAAAGCAGUUGAAUUUCCUCCUAUGUCUGAGUUGUUUUAUUAUAGCAGUUGAACAUAUUAUAGCAUAUGUUCAUAUAUUGUUUUAUUAUAGCAUAUAUUCAUAUAUUGAAUUUCCUCCUAUGUCGGAGUCAAAGAUCUCAGCAAAAGUCGUCAACUUGAACAGUUGCACGGCCUCGUAAAGUCCCGGCCGAAGUCCUCGCAAGAACCAGUCGGCCCGGUCCCGGUCGUCUCUAACCACAUCCGGGAUGCAAUCAAUUAUGUGGGAGAAUUCUUGCUUGUAGUCCACUACCGACCGAUCUCUUUGCCUUAGUUUGCGAAACUUCUCUUGUAGCUUCCGCUUUACGGUGUCGGGGAAGUAGUUCGCGAACAUCGCUCUUUUGAACUCCUCUCAUUGCAUAGGCGGAAGAUCGGAAGAUCGAUCCCACUUUACUCGCUUCCACCAUACCUUCGCCGCCUUUUCUAAGCAAUGCGUGGCGAGUUGCACCUUAUCCUUCUCCAAGGUGUAUAUAUCCUCGAAGAGUGACUCCAUCGAGUCAAUCCAUGCCUCCACCAUUGACGGCUCCACUUUGUCUCCGUCGAAUAUCGGUGGAUUGAACUUCUUGAACAUAACGAGAGCCGCCAACGCACGCUCCCGCUCCGCCUCUACCGCCGCACCUUCGGGGUUUGAGGUUCCCGAUCCAGCCGGCACCAUCGUGAUGGGCACAGCUGCCACUGCCGCCGCUCCCUCGACUACACUUGGCACCACCGCAGGGGGCGCAGGAGACUCAUCACUCCAAUGUGCUGCCGCCGCCUGCUGUCGCUCUAAGGCUUCUUGAAGCCUCUGAAUUUGCUCUCCUUGAUGUUGAACAGACUCCGCUUGUUGCCGCACCACGCCAAUAAGCGCGGCCAUUUGCUCCCGAAGCUCAUCGUCGCCACUUGCUCUGGAUUACUCGGGCGCUGCAUUCGGCUCUGUUGAAGCAUAAAAAAAAAAAAAAAAAAAAAAAAAAAAAAAAAAAAAAAAAAAAAAAAAAAAAAAAAAAAAAAAAAAAAAAAAAAAAAAAAAAAAAAAAAAAAAAAAAAAAAAAAAAAAAAAAAAAAAAAAAAAAAAAAAAAAAAAAAAAAAAAAAAAAAAAAAAAAAAAAAAAAAAAAAAAAAAAAAAAAAAAAAAAAAAAAAAAAAAAAAAAAAAAAAAAAAAAAAAAAAAAAAAAAAAAAAAAAAAAAAAAAAAAAAAAAAAAAAAAAAAAAAAAAAAAAAAAAAAAAAACAGAAGAAGCAAAAAAAAAAUCUCUCUUUCUCUCUCUCUCUCUCUCUGAAAUGAGCAUCCGCCAUGGCCAAAGCCCACGAGAGCCUCCGACUACGACGACGACAACGGCGAACGUCGGCGUCUCCCUCGCGCUACUCGGGUUUUCCGUAGUCGCCGUCGACGCCGACGUGGGGCUCCGGAACCUCGACCUCCUCUUGGAGCUCGAGAACCGCGUCAACUAUGCUAUCUCCAAGGUCUUCGGCGGCGACUGCCGCCUCGACUAGGCAUUCCCGAGGCCGCUCGCUUCCUCACCGACCCCUGCGCCGCCGAGGCCGCUCGCUUCCUCGCCAUGGAGCGGCUCCUCGAGGAGUGCUCCGAGCUCCGCGGCCGCGCUGUGCUCGUCCAGAUCGCCAACCCGGCGCACAGUCAUGGCCGCGACGUCGAGGAGGUGGCCGACGAGGCCCGUUCCGUCACCCGCCGCAUCAACGCCCGCUUCGGCCGCCACGGCUACGACCCCAUCGUCUUCGUCGACCACCCCGUGUCGACCUUCGAGAAGGCCGCCUACUACGCCGCCGCCGAGUGCGUCGUCGUCAGCGCCGUCCGCGACAGCCUCAACCGAAACUGCCCACUCCAUCAAAGCGCAGCUCGAGGCCCUCGACGACUCCAACGUCGUGGCCGCGCCUUCUCCCCGCGCUUCGCCGCGGGGACCUCCUACAAGGUGCCCGAUGGAGCGGCGACCCCAUGGAUCCGCCAUGGUCCUCGCCGGGCGCGUCCGCGUCUGCUGCUCCGGCGUCGACCUCACCGCCGCCGGGAACGUCUUCAAGGGCGACAUCAAAGACCCCAACGCCGACCCUGUCGCCGCCAUGGCUGCGUGCCGCAAGCCCAUCGCCGGCGCCGUCGCCGGAUUCGCCGUCACUGCUGGGUUCGAGAUCGCCUUCGCCUGCGACUUACUCGGCGGGCCGCGACGCCAAGUCCGUCAACACCGCCGUCGCGUCUCCACCGAACUCCGCUGAGCGCCGCCGCGUCUCCACCAAGCUCCACUGAGCGCCUCCGCGAACCCCAGAAGCUCAUCAACAUCUGCGACGGCAUCAUCUCUCUCGACUACGCCGACAUCCAUACCUACCAUGCCCGGGUAGAGGCCGAGCUCAUCAAUAUCUGCAGUGGCAUCCUCCACUUGUUCGACGAAAUUCCCAAACGAAACCAGAGGGAGCCCGAUCGGAUCGGCGGCGAUCGGAACAGCCCCGAUGAGAUCUUGACAUGGAGACCAUCGUCGCUGACAGCCGCGCCGCCACCCGCGGCAGAUCCGCCCGAAGCCACGCAGAGGCUCCGUCGAAGUCGCCGUCACCCGAAGCCGCGCCACCCGUGGCCGGUCCUCUCGAAGCCGCGCCACCCGCGGCCGAUCCGCUUGAAGCCGCGCCACCCGCGGCCAAUUCGUCGAGGCCCAUGCCGAGCCGCCGCCCAUGACUCUGCUCGUGAUCUCGGCCGAUCCGUCGACGCCCGCGCGCCGUCGUCGACUUUGAUGGCUCGAACCCGAGGAGUCCCCUCUGAUGCCGCGUCGCGCCACCCGCGGCAGGUCCGCCCGCAGCCCCGUCGAUGCCGCGCCACUGUCGUGGCCCUUCACCGCUGCAGAGCGUCGUCGUCACGGCCCUCCUCCGUCGCGGUCUCAGAUCCGCGGCUCCACUGUCAGGUCACAGCCCCAGCAGAGCUCCGUCAUCAACAAAGCCCACCAACCGCUCGACGGCGAACCUGUGAGAGAGAGCGAUGCUCUCCUCUCAAACGGAGUUCGCCCACCAACCGUUCGACGGCGAACCUGAGAGAGAGAGUGGUGCUCUCCUCUCAAACGGGUUCCGCCCGCCAAGUGCUCGAUGUACCCGGAGUCCGCCCACCAACCACUCGACGGCGAACCUGAGAGAGAGAGCGGUGCUCUCUUCUCAAAUGAAGUUAGAUCCGCUCGCCAAGUGCUCGACGGCGAAAUUGAGAGAGAGAGAGCGGUGCUCUCCUCUCAAAUGAAGUCAAGUCCGCCAACCGCUCCGACGACGAAUCCGAGAGAGAGAGCGGUGCUCUCCUCUCAAACAAAGUUCGCCCGCUAAUUGCUCGGUGGCGAAUCAUAAAGAGAGCGAUGCUCUCAUUUACCGACCAAUCAUUCGACAAAAUAUUUCGUCGUCGACGUGCUAAUCAAACCGCUCGAUGGAAUGCCGAGAUGAACAUUGAUGGUGCUCUUUGCAAAAUAUCACCAAAAAGAGAGAUCACUCUAAAAGAGAGAGAGAGAGCUUUGACAAAAUCACAUUAGACACUUCAAAUUAAAUUGAAAUUUAAUUUGUUAUUCAAAUCCAGAAUUUGAAGAAAAUGUAUAUGAAAAUCUUAAUUGAUCAAAACAUUUUUUUUUAAUAAAACCUCGAGACAUGAAUCUAGGCCCGAUCAUAUGGACCUAAGUCAUUGAACCUCAACCCAUCCGUAUUAAAUCAACACUUUGACUCUAAACCCAUUUAACCCAAUCUAAUCUAAACCCAUUAACCUUAACCUCACUCAAAAUCCAUUAACCGUUACCUAUAACCCAAACCUAUAACCCAAUCCAAUUAAACCUUAGCCCAAUUCUAAAUCCAUAACCUAUAACCCAAUCCAAUUAAAUCUAGGCCUAGUCCAAAGCCCAGAGCCCAUUUACAAAUGGCCCCAGUCCAAAACCCAUUUGGGCCCACUAUCUAAACCCAUUAUCCAAAACUCAUUAAAACCAUUAACCCAUAAACCCAUAUACAUAAACCUAUAUACAUUUACCCAUGAACCCAUACACAUUUAACCCAUAUUCAAGCCCAUAACCUUAACCAAGUCCAUGAACUUUGAACCAAAACCAUGGACCAAACCAUACACCAAAUCCUGUGGACCAUACCAUACACCAAAUCCACGAACUAUGAAUCAAGUUCAUGAAUCAAAUCAAGUUCAUGAGCCAAGGAUCAUAAACCACAACCCAUCUACCAAGUCCAUGAACCAUAAACCCAUACACCAAGUUCAUGAACCAUAAGUCCAUGAACCAUAAACCCAUGAACCAUAAGUUCAUGAACCAUAAACCCAUGAACCAUAAACCCAUGAACCAUAUCCAAGUUCAUGAACCAUAAUCCCAUAUACCCAAUACCAUAAACCUUGUGAACUAAAUCAAUCGAUCGACCGAAACGUCGUUAAACUAAUCCACCAAAUCAAUCGACCGAAAUGUCGUUAAACUAAACUCAAAUUCAAUUUUCACGAACAUCCCAAUUCCCAAAAUAUUCGAUUCUCUAGCAUAUAAAAUUAGAGUCAAAUCACAAUCAUGUUCAAACUUGAUCAAAUUCUAAACCUAUAUUUAGAAUUGAUCAAACCAUCUGAUCAAAUUAAUUUGUUGGAUUCCAAUACAUACACUUGGAGUUUAAUUUAAAUCAAAUCUGACUAAUCCUAAUACAUAUAAUUAGGAUUUAGUUAAUAUUUCACCUUGAGAUGAACCAAAAUCAAAUAUGACUAAGCUCUAAUACAUAAACUUAUAGCCUAAUUGUAUCAUACUCUAAAAUAUAAAAUUAGAGUCUAAUUCAAGAUAUUUGGGGCUAAUCCUAACACAUAUAUAUUUAGGAUGAAAGCUCAAAUCAAACUCUAUUGGACUUUAUUACAUAUAUUUAAAGUUCAGAGUUUAAUCAAGUUCCAUUAAAUUCCAAUGUAUAUAUAUGGGAUUUAAUCAAUCUUUCAUCUCAUGGUAAACAAAGUUGAGCUCCAAAAUAUAUAGAGCUCAACAAAAUCUGAUCAUUUAUUGGACUUUAUCACAUACAUUUAAAGUUCAAUUAACCAAAUCAAACUCUAAUACAUAUAAUUAGAGUUUANCUUCCGGAACGUUUUCGGGCUAAAGUAGCCGCGAUCGAAACGGUCAAACAUCCGGACGAGAUGAAAGUCGAGGAAUUAGUAGGUGCUUUACAAACUUACGAAAUGACCUUUCCUACUAAUCAAUCUUCUUCCAAGUCUUCUUCUAAAAGCACAGGUGUUGCAUUGAAAUCUACAAAGGAGAAGGACGAAGACUCGAGUUCCGACGACGAUUUAUCAAUUGCGGACUUUGAACAACAAUUGGCGCUUCUUACGAAGAAGUUUCGUCGAAAUUUCUGGAACAAGAAUAGAUUGGACAAGGCUUCAUCGUCUAAGCGACAAUCUUUGUCUAAAUCAUCUUCAUCUUCAAAGUCUAAGGAUAAAAAUCGUGCAAAGUCUUCAAAGGAAAAGGAUAAAUUUGAAGGAGAGAUCCAAUUCUACAAAUGUAAAGGUUACGGCCACAUUGCGACGGAUUGUCCUUCAAAGAAGACGUAUAGACAAAAGGCUUUGCAAGCAAAGACGUGGGAUGAUUCAACAUCAAGUGAAUCAUCGUCAAGUGACGAAGAAAAGAAUGAUCAAAUUGCCUUAUUUACUAACACUUCUCUACUUUCGUAGAAUGUUGUGUGUUUAUCCUCUUUUGCUCCUAAUUCCAAUAUUUCUCUUUCUUCACAUGAUUCUUCGAGCAACAAUGGCGAAAGUGAGGAGGAAUCAAACGACGACGACAUAGCAGAAGCGUACAAUCAACUUCUCAUUGAAUCAAAGAAGAUGGCUAAACUCAACAAGAAGUUGAGACGUCGUUUGUUGGAACUUGAGGAGGAAAACAACAACGUAAAGAAUUUGAAUAAGGUUCUUGAGGAGGAAAGGGAUUCAAACUUGAAGAUUAAUUCGGACCUCCAAGAGAAGCUUAAUGAAGCGGAAUCAACGAUCAAAUCUUAUAAAGAUAAGGUUGGAUUUUUGGAGCAACAAUUCGAGGAAUCGCACACAUCCAAUAAGUCUUUGACCAAUCAAGUUCGUCAACUUCAAUUCGACAUUCAACGAUUUUCUUCCGGAUCAAAGAAACUAGAUCACAUGCUCGGAUUGGGUCAAACAAACAAGCUCGGACUCGGAUAUGAACGAACAUACGUUGAGAAGGAUUCAAAAUCAACUUCUAAAGUCUCAACAACUUCGAAAGACAAGGUGUGUCAUAAAUGUGGCAAGAAAGGACACAUUAAAAGGAAUUGCCCAAAUAAGGAAAAGAAGAAUCAAUCGGCAAUAUCUAAACCUCAAACGGCAUCAUCUACAACUCGACUUCCCCUGCGGAAUCAAAAGAAAAAUCAAGUUAGUCGAGUACCUCAAAAGAACCGGAUUUCUAAUGCACAACGCCAAGUUCAUGCAAAACAGGUGCAUAAGCCUCAACAACAAAUUCAACCGAAGCCUAAACCGAAGAAAUCACCAACGGUUGAUCAAAAAUCUAAACAAAUGGCACCUAACGUCGACAAGUCGAGAAAACCAACGAUCCGACAAGUUUGGAUCCGGAAAGGUGAUAUCUUUCCUUGCUCCUCGUCUUAGUCAUUUUUUGAUCUUUAGUGUGAUGCUUUGAUAGGUGCUUGUUGCAUAAUUUUAUUCAUUGCAUUACAUGUUUACAUAAUUUUUGGUGCUUGAAUUUUAUUGGUUUAUAAAUCUUUUUGAGGAAAGGUGUUUAGGAAUUCCAAAUUUUUGAGAAAGGAGAUGAUUGAGAAUCAUUAUUUUGAGGAGAGAAAAUUUUCUUUUUUCAAAAUUGUUUAAACGGUGUUUGGAUUCGGUGUGAUUGAAGCUUCGUGGAUUCGAAGUGGAGGCGUUCGUGGACUCGAACGUGAGGGCGUGGACAGCCCGGAGGGUAGCGCGAAGAUUCAUAGGAGGUUAAGAGAGGUUGAGUUCGUGGAGUCGGUAAUCACCUUGUAAUCUUUUCUCUUAGUGAAUUAUUUUUUCGCGUGUUGAUCCCGUGGGUUUUUCUCCAAGUUGGAGUUUUCCCACGUAAAUCUCGGUGUGCUUUUUAUUUUUCGCAUUUAUUUUUAUUGCAUCGAGAUUUGUGGUUUUUGGCCGUUCACCUAUUCACCCCCCUCUAGGUGAUAGAUACAAUCUAGAUAGAUCCUUGGGCUCCUCAAAACUUUCUAAAGUAAGAUGCUAGAGUCGAUGCCUCAGUCGUGCUGAACGCGCUGGCGCAAUCCAUUUGAAAAUCCGACGGACGGAUCUUCGGGAAUCGUGAAAAGUCUGCUGAGAGGUCAAUUUGGCAAAAUCGAAUAAUCGUGAAAAGACCCUAUAUUUCAUGCACCGUUUCACGAGAUUUCGAAUGUCGAGGGGCUGGCAUGCAAGUUACACAUGAAGGCGGGGGCAGGAUUAUAAUUAUUUGACUUUGAAGGGGUUCCUCGCAAAAUGACACCUUGUAUAAAAGUGGCGUCUAGGGUUUUCCAUGGUUCUUUGGCUGCCUACGUUCACCUAGCUAACCCUAGCCGCCCCACCUACACCUUGCCCUGCCUAUACGCACACCCGGACUGCCGGUGAGCAGCUACGGCCGCCGGAAAAGCCACCCCGGCCUCCCAUCAACUCCUCGUUAGACCCACCUCGCCACCAGCUCAGUUGUUGUGCUCGGGGAGGCAUCAAAGCCCGAGCUUCAACAUCCCCUGGCUGAGGCCCAUCCCUAGCGCCGUCCCCGCCGGCCUCCGCCGUCCCCGCGCGCCGUCGGAGCCACCCUAGCUCCCUACGGCUAGCUGCAGUCACCCAGGCUGAGUCUAGGUGAUCUCUGCCUUCGCGCGCCGCCGCUGCUCCCCGCCGCCGCUCCCCGCCGGCCGCGCCGCCCUCCUCGCAUCUCUGGCGACCUCCCGCUCGCCAUCCCGGCCAUCCCCGUGGACCACCGGCCGCCACUUGUGCACCUUGCGGGCGCCCUGGGUUGGUGCGGGCCGAGGUCGAGUCCGCUCGACUUCCAAGCGCCGCCGCCGUCCAAUGAAGGGUGCACCGCCUCUCCCUCGGCCUCCGGCGUCGAAUCGUCGCCGCCUUGAGCUCCUCCGGCCGCCGCCUUGCUGCCGACGCCCUUGAAUCCGUGAGCAGCCUUAGGGAGCUAAUCUCCGCCGCCACGCCACCGGCCGCCUCCAACCACCGGCCAGCGGGUGCCACGGACUUCACCUACCGGCCGCGCCCUCCCGUGGCUGGACCGCCGGCCGUCCGGCCGCCGGCGACCAACCCUAGCUCUCCCCGGUUCCAGUAAGGCUGUUUUAUGUUCCAGCACUGAAUUCUUAGAUUCCGGUCACCUUUUCGGUGAUCCGUUAAGCCUUCUAGACCUCGGGAAGUGAGCACGAUGAUCUACAACAUGUGCUGAACAUCUUGCUCACCUCUGACAGGGACAGAGAUGCCCUGGAUUGUGCAUUAAUGGCAAUCUUAGCGCUGUGCGCACUGUUUCACUGAGUUUCAUGUCGCUCGUGCGCGUGCCACAGUGGCCGGCAAUUCUCCAAAAGGUGAGCACGGCCUCUGGCACGCUGAAACCUAUCAGCGAGCACGACGGUUUGCCUAAUCGAUCUCUGGUUUGCGUGCACGGUCCAGAAAAGCCUAGAAAUCACAUAAAGUGAUGCGAUUUCAUGUAUCGGUAAUGGUUUUUCGGGUUUUUGCUUCGAUGUAGCUGCUGUUGGCAGCAAGGGUAGGCUGAGGAUAACGUCUGGAUUGAUCGUCCAAGGCCCCAAGCUUUUGCGAAAAUCGAAAAGUGAUUUCCGGAGCGUUUUUCGGCGAAAUCCGCCGAUAGAACGCAUUUUCGAUUUGGAAUUCAUCCGACGGUGUUUCGUGGUUGAUUGUAGUGUCGCUGAGCCUUGUUGGCUGGUCACCCAUGUCGUUUCGAGGGUUCAGAAAUGACGGGUGAGCGACGACGGAUUCCGGUGUCGAAAUAGACACUUCCGGGAACCCAAAUCGGAACGAUUAUCUGACGAUAAUCGUUCCGCAUCGAGUUAGCGUCUUUGCUGCCUUGUCACACUAAAAUAGGUGCUUAGCGGCAGUGAGCAACUCAUAUGAUGAGUUGGGUAGUUUCGGGACGGUUCGUGGGUCUCGGCGGAGUCCCGGUGUAGUUUUUUUGUGACUUCUGGUGAGUUCGGCAACCGGUUUUGGGAAACCGAUUCCCGAGGGGCUAUGUGUCAUGCCCCGGGACCGGCGGAGGCCCUCCCGGUAGCGUGCCCAGACCCGCCAUAUGUCUACACAUAUAAGGCGUCUACAAUAAAAGCGAAAGUAAAAGCAAGUAAUAGAACAAAUAGAAAAAGUGAAAUAACUAGCAACUAAUGAUAUCAGAGCGAGUAAAGUUCUAACAUCUACACCAAAGUAAAGAAGUAAAGCUAGACAAUAAAAGAAAUCAUAAGUAGUACAAUAUCUGUCUCUAAUACGAAAAUGGUGGUCUCUAGUACACUGGCAAAACCCUCAACCUCUCGGAAAGACAAGUAAAUAUCGAGAGGUAGACCACCUAACAACUCGUCCUCGAAGGAAGCUAGCUCGAAGCAACUCCCUUCCCGCGAUCCCUGGCCUCACCCUGCGUGGAAGGCUCUGAAAAACAUCGAGAAAAAGAGGGCGUGAGAACUAUAAUUUAUAGUUCCCAGUGGGCAAUUACUGACCUCAGCUCAAUGCACCACUAGGCCCCAAAAGAAAAGGGUAAGUAACGACAUAUAGUAAAAUGCAAUAAAUAGCAAACACAAGAACUGCUGAAAGAAAGCAUGAAUGAAAUGCUAUACUACUAUGUCUCCAAUAAGCAUGAUGUCAUGGUGAUGUACAUCUACGCUAUCAUAAGGUAAUAUAUCCAAUGCAUACUAAUAUGCCUCAACAUAAUGAACAAGUAAACCUCACAAUACCAUAUGCCAAAAUAUAAGGAGUACGCUCUAUCAAGAUAACCCAGUAUACUAUGAUGCAAUGCAUGAAACCGGCAAGUGUACUAUAUACCCCAUUGCUAUGUCAUGAGCAUGUCACCUAAUCCAACUACUAAGCCUAUCUAGUAGCGAUUAUUCAUUCUCAACACCGUGUCGAUUUCCAUUUCCAAUCAAGGACCUACCAAAGGUAGUCCAGCUUGUGCCGCCUAAGUGCCUGUGGUAGCCCAACAUCCCUACUCUUGGAAUGUGUCUGUCCCACUCGACCCCGUAGGCUUCUCAAUACCGCACGAGCGAACAUAGGUCGCGUAGGCUAACUCCGGAGUGCCGGCUUGUAGGGAGCGACCCUCACAAGCAUGUGCGAAUGAGCACAAAUGGCAAGCAAGCAUAGUCCAAGUCUCAAGUAUCCAACCCUCAUGUCUCUAACAUGGUAUAGUCACUAGCAUCUCGAAGAUCUAGUUCUAAGUCACAAAUGAAGUUCCAACAUUCUCUAGGUCUAGUGCCCCUUUAUGACACUUAGACAUUUAAUGUUUAAGCAUGUUCCACAUUCCUCAAUGGCCCUAUCCACUAGGUUCACACAUGUCCCGAGCUCAAUGCCGCUUGAUGACAUUAGCUCUCUAGUUCACAUACCUUCUAAAUGGCAAUUUUGUCAACUUUCAUGUCUCAAUAAACUUAAGUUUAAAUGCAUGAAUCGAAUCUCAUUUACACUAUGGGAGCAUGAAAUCACGUCUCAUAUAGAAUGCUAAAUGCAACUAUAGGCCUACCAAGCUACUCUCUACUACAUAGAGGUCCAAAAUUUCAUCAUAUAUAACAUAAGCCUUUUAAGCAUUCUAAAAUUCACAAUAAAUACAUAUAACAAGAAUAUGCAUGCUUUUUCACUUAAAAUACUUAAUUAAGCACAAAUGAGAAUUUCUCAUUGUGUGGCUAGGUCAAACCCACCGAACCGUCGCGUAGGGCCUCGCUUCGCCGAACAAAGUUGUCCCCGAGUCUCAAAAUACCCUAAAAGUAUUGAGCGACAAGAUACACGGGCAUUACGAUCAACUAUAAGAUCAAACUUUAACAAAUUUAGCAAAAGGGCUAAAACUCACCCAAUGUGUGGAAAAUCUCUCCUAAGCUCCAAAUGGGAGCUAGAAUCCUUCCAAUCCAAGCCCAAGGAAGGUUCUAAUCCAACCAAUUUAGGUCCAAAAGCCCUAGAUCAAAAAUGCCCAAAUAUAAGCCCUAAAACCUCAUCUAGGGUUUUAUCUUAAAGAAACCUCCAAAAUUCAAAUCUAGAGGAAAAGAUCUAGUCACUUACCUCUAGGAAGCUUCAAACCAAGCUCAAAGUCCUCAAACUUCAAGGAUCAUCCCUCAACCAAGCAUAAACCCAAGCUCCAAUGGUGGGAAAAGCCUCCAACACCCAAAAAUGAGCAAAAAGAGAGGCUUUAAUCUCUCUAAAUCUAAAUAAAACCAAAGGAAUCAAAGGGGAGAGUGUGGAGGGCUCCCUCACCUCUUCUCUUGCUGGUCCCAAGCUUAGGAGAAGUCCCAACGGCGUGGGGGAAACAUAUAGAGAGCCACAUUUGCGAAAAACCCCCUGCAGUUCAAACUGCUAAGAUUCUGCCAAAGUGUACCGGUAUACGGGAAAGUGUACCGGUACACAUCCUACGAAAAUGCAAACCCGAGGCUCGGGUUUGAAAUUCGCCACAAGUGUACCGGUACAACCAUCAAAAGUGUACCGGUACAAAAUGUGUACCGGUACAGCCAUCGACCUGUCACCGGUUACACCUCGUGCAGAAUGCAAUCCGAGGGUAGGCUAAGUCCAACUCUUUAGUGACCUUAGCGCUACAUAAAAUACUACAAUUCUCGGGAUGCGAGCCAUAGGUCGGAACACUGUCAACGACCCACCAGAAAGUCUGGAAAAACUCGGGACACUGUCCAAACACUCGAACCUCGCAAUUUGCAAAGGUCCAGUGCGUCACAUUCACCCCUCCUAAAAAGGAGUUUCGUCCGCGAAACUCGAAAGCAAACGCCGUACCUCAAGACUCCAUCUGAAAAAGAUGGGGAUAGCGCUCCUGGAGCGCGCUCUCUAGCUCCCAAGUGGCCUCGCGCUCGUCGUGGUUGCUCCAAAGCACCUUCACGUAGGGGAUUUCCCGGUUCCGCAAUCUUUUUACCUCGCGAGCCAAAAUCCUCAAGGGUUGCUCCUCAAAGCUCAAAUCCUCCCGCAGCUCCAUAGGUGUAGCAUCCAACACAUGAGCCGGGUCGUGGAUGUACUUCCGAAGGACCGAUACAUGGAAUACAUUGUGUACACCCGAUAGGUUUGGCGGUAGAGCAAGUCGAUACGCCACCGGGCCUACACGCUCCAAAAUCUCAUAUGGUCCAAUAUAUCGGGGGCUCAACUUACCCCGGAUUCCAAAUCUUCUAAUUCCUUUGGUCGGCGAGACUUUCAAGAACACAUGGUCUCCAAUCUGAAACUCCAAGUCUCGUCGACGCCGAUCAGCAUAACUCCUCUGCCUACUCUGGGCUGUCAACAAUCGCUCCCGAGCAAUGCGAACCUUGUCCUCUGCUUCCUGGAGCACAUCUGGGCCUAAAGCCAAUCUCUCGCCAACUUCACUCCAAUGAAGUGGCGAUCUACACUUCCGUCCAUAGAGUGCCUCGAACGGUGCCAUCUUGAUGCUUGCUUGAUAACUGUUGUUAUAAGCAAACUCUGCCAUCGGUAGAUGCUGCGACCAUCCUCCCUGGAAGUCAAUCACGCAGGCUCGAAGCAUGUCCUCGAGAGUCUGUAUAGUACGCUCCGACUGCCCGUCACUCUGAGGGUGGAAAGCUGUACUGAAGUCCAAACGCGUACCCAGAGCGUCCUGUAAGCUCCUCCAAAAGUGGGAUACAAAACGGGGAUCUCGAUCUGAAACGAUAGAAGUAGGUACCCCGUGCAAUCGCACAAUCUCAUCCAAGUAUACCUGUGCGAGUCUCUCACCAGUCCAAGUAGUGUGGAUAGGUAUGAAAUGUGCCGAUUUCGUCAACCUAUCCACAAUCACCGAAAUAGCGUCAUGCCCGGCCUGUGAGCGAGGCAAUCCCAUCACGAAAUCCAUGGUGAUCUUUUCUCAUUUCCACACUGGAAUUGGUAGGCUCUGCAACUUCCCCGCAGGAACUCGGUGCUCAGCCUUCACCUGUUGGCAAGUCAAACAUCUAGCAACAAACUCACCAACAUCCUUUUUCAUCCCGGGCCACUAGUAAAGCAACUUCAAGUUCUUGUACAUCUUGGUGCCUCCCGGAUGUAUAGCAUACGGUGCUCAGUGUGCUUCUUGAAGAAUGUCCUCUUUAAUGCCCAAGUCCGCCGGUACACGAAGUCGUCCGCGGAAACGCAUCAAUCCAUCACCGUCUAAAGCGAAGUCACCGGUGCAACCAUCAACCAUUUUAUUUCGAAUCUUUUGCAACUACAAGUCGGAAGCUUGCUUUUCUUUAAUCUUCUCCAAAAGUGUAGGUUGCACCACCAAAGUCAUCAACCUCAAAGGUGUAUCAGGAGCCACCACCUCCAACUCCAACCGCAUCAUUUGCUCGAUCAACGGCGGUUGAGUAACCAUAAGCAUCGCUAAGUUCUCCGUCGAUUUCCGACUUAGCGCAUCCGCCACCACGUUAGCCUUGCCCAGGUGGUAAAGUAUCGUCAAAUCAUAAUCCUUGAGCAGCUCCAACCAUCUGCGCUGCCUCAAGUUCAACUCCUUCUGAGUGAAAAGAUAUUUUAAGCUUUUGUGAUCCGUAUACACUUCGCAUCGCUCGCCGUAGAGAUAAUGGCGCCAUAGCUUCAAUGCAAAGACUACGGCUGCCAACUCCAAGUCAUGGGUAGGAUAGUUUCUUUCAUAAUCCUUCAAUUGGCGUGAUGCAUACGCGAUCACUUUCCCGUCCUACAUCAAAACACAGCCCAAUUCAUUAAAUGAAGCAUCACUAUAAAUCACAUACCCUGCUCCAGCAGUUGGCAAGGUUAGGAUCGGGGCGGUCGUCAAUCGCUGCUUCAACUCUUGGAAGCUCCUUUCACACGCAUCAUUCCAAAUAAACUUGGUGCUCUUAUGCGUGAGUCUCGUGAGGGGAGUAGAUAACUUUGCAAAUCCCUCAACGAACCGUCGAUAGUAGCCGGCCAAACCAAUGAAGCUCCGUAUCUCGGUCAUGCUCGUCGGCCUCGGCCAAUCCUUGAUAGCCUCAAUUUUUCUUGGAUCCACAGCUAUCCCUGAUCUUGAAAUCACAUGGCCCAAAAACGCCACCUCUCUAAGCCAAAACUCACACUUUUUCAACUUGGUAUAGAGCUUCUUUUCCCGAAGCACUUGAAGUACAAGUCUCAAGUGCUCCUCGUGAUCCGUGUCACUCCGGGAAUAGACCAAAAUAUCGUCGAUAAACACCACAACGAACCUGUCUAAAUAAGGCUUGAAAACACGGUUCAUCAGAUCCAUAAAAACUGCCGGGGCAUUAGUAAGCCCAAACGGCAUAACAGUAAACUCGUAAUGUCCAUACCGUAUUCUAAAAGCCGUCUUAGAUACAUCCUCAGGUCUGAUCCUCAACUGAUGAUAUCCAGACUGCAAGUCAAUCUUGGAAUAUACACAAGAUCCCUGGAGCUGAUCAAAUAGAUCAUCAAUCCUCGGUAAUGGAUACUUGUUCUUGAUCGUGACUUUAUUAAGUUCACGAUAGUCCACGCACAAGCGAAGUGAUCCAUCCUUCUUCUUCACAAAUAGGACCGGUGCUCCCCAAGGUGACACGCUCGGUCGCACAAAACCCUUGUCCAGAAGAUCCUGCAGCUGCGCCUUCAGCUCCUUCAACUCUGCUGGUGCCAUCCUAUAGGGCGCCUUUGAGAUUGGGGUAGUCCCGGGGACGAGAUCUACCACAAACUCAAUCUCCCUAUCAGGAGGCAUGCCUGGUAGCUCCGCUGGAAACACAUCUCCAAACUCCCGCACUACGGGAAUAUCCUCAAUCCUAGGGGCGUCACCCUCACCUCGCAACACAACAGUAGCCAAAUAGGCUACGCAGCCUCUACUAAUCAACUGCCGAGCUCGAGAAGAGCUAAUCGUCAUCGCAAACAGCGAACUCUGGCAUCCUCGGUACACAACCUCCGCCUGCCCUGGCUCUCUAAAAGUCACCGUUCGAUCCUUACAAUCGAUAGUGGCGAAAUACUUAGUCAACCAAUCCAUGCCCAACACAACAUCAAACUCCCCGAGUUUAUGCAACGCUAACAAGUCCACGGGCAUGAUCCAAUCUCCAACCCGAAUAGGGCAACUGGGGCAAAACUCCCGAAUGUCCAAAGAAUGAUCGGGUACAACAACUCGGCCCGGAUGCAACAGGGAUACAAGUGGGAUGCCAUGCAGCUCGGCAAACAGCCGAUCAAUGAAUGAAUGCGAUGCACCGGUAUCAAACAAAGCUCUAGCUCGAAUACCAUAAAGUAAAAUGAUACCUGCGACCACAUUCUCGGCUGCCGCCGCCUCCUCAGUCUGGGCCGCGUACAUGCGCCCGCUCGGGGCCUGUCGUGACCCCUCCGUCUGCCGCUGGACAGGUGGCCGACCGGCCUGGUGAUGCGCAGAAGAUGUCCCCUGGCUGGGACCUGGCGAUGCUGGUGCAGAUGCCGCAGAUGGCGCUGGCAAUGGACUCCUCGGGCAGUCCGACUGGAAGUGGCCCUCCUGGCCACACAAGAAGCACCUGCCCCGGCUGCGUGAACACUGCCGCGGGUAAUGAGGACCGCCACAGAUCACGCAGCGGGGGGCCUGACGACGCUCGGGUCCUCCUCGCUGAGUAGACUGGCCACGUCCUCGCGACUGGCUCCGGCUCCUGGGGUGCCUCGGCGGCCUCCGUGAGUGCGUCUGACUCGCACCCUCAGCCGCGGGCCUCUUGCCCUUCCCUUUCUCCAAGCUCUCGCGACGCUCCUGCAGAUCCGCCGCUCCUGCCUCCACUAUCAAAGCUCGAUCCACAACCUCCCGGUAGGUCUGGAGGUUGGAAGACUGCACCAACCGGAAGAUAGAAGGCCGCAAACCGCGCUCAAAGAUGCGGGCCUUGUCCUCGUCGUCCCUCACAACAAACGGUACACAGUGUAGUAUCCGGGAGAACUCCCUCUCGUACUCAGCCACUGACCGCUCAUCCUGGCGCAAGCUGCGCAAAUCCUGCUCCAUCUUCCUCUUGACGCUGGUAGGAAAGUGGUGCGCCAGAAGAAGCUCCUUGAACCUAGUCCAAGUAAUCGCUGCCAAGUCGGUGUUGGGGUUGUCCUGGAUAUCCAACCACCAACGGUAGGCCUCGCCGUCCAGAAAGUGAGUGGCGAGCCAAACUCUGUCCCGCUCCUCCACAAAAGUGUCUCGAAACAGCUUUUUCAUAUGCAUCAACCACUUCUCGACAAUCCAGUGGUCGACGUUCUGGCUAUCAAACAUCCUCGGGCUGCACCUCCUGAACUCACUGAGGCGCUCCAUAAUCCGAUCCCGCUCGGCUCCCUCGGCCAUCACGGGGUAUGCUGCCCCUGUCGCCGGUCUCUGAACAGGUAGUGCCGCAACCACCUCCUCCCGAGGUGCGGUCGCCGGUGCCGCACGUGAAGAACUGGGCGCAGGGGAUUGCGCCCUCGAUGCGACGUCCACCACGGGUGCUGGCGGUGUGGGACCCUAGGUCUCCCUCGAAGCUGCCGCCUGCUGAAGUAGGAGGUCCUCAAGAUGCUUCAUCCGCGCCUCCUGCCGCUGAGCCAUAUCAGCCUGUCGCUGCGCCGCCGCCAUCUGCUGCGCCAACAAAUCAGUGAUAACCGCAAGCUGGGCCCUCGGGUCACGGACCUCACUAGAUCCGAAAGUAGCGGAGGUCUCGGCCUCCUCGGGAUGCGCCGCAUCAUCCGCCCCGGCAGACUGGGAGCGUGUAAUCGGCAUUGUCACUACAAAACAUAAAAGCGCAAGUUAGUAACCCACGCUAUCGCAACCCUGCUCAAAAUAGAUAAAACCCGAAUCAUGCGAAAGUAAGGAAGUGUCCUUUACUACUAACUCCCGAUGUUACGUUGUCGGCCGCCAACGUAACCCUCCGCGAAGUUAGAAGCCAUACACUGCGAUCAAACUCUAACUUUUUAGAGUUAUCAUAAAUCCAAUCGAGACACUUUCGCUAAUAAUUCAAUUAGACCUCGUCUCUCACGGGCCUAUUUCCUAUAGUCCAACCGGCAUAAGGUUUACUAGGUCCUCUGAGACUCAACCCUAGGCUCUGAUACCAAAUUAAUCUGUCACGCCCCGGGACCGGCGGAGGCCCUCCCGGUAGCGUGCCCAGACCCGCCAUAUGUCUACAUAUAUAAGGCGUCUACAAUAAAAGCGGAAGUAAAGCAUGAGAUAGAACAAAUAAAGAAGUGAACUAACUAGCAACUAAUGAUAUCAGAGCAAGUAAAGUUCUAUCAUCUACACCAAAGCAAAGAAAUAAAGCUAGUCAAUAAAAGAAACCAUAAGUAGUACAAUAUCUGUCUCUAGUACAAAAAUUGGUUAGGUCAUCUGAGUAGCACUGGGCCAAAAAAACCCUAACCGCUCUCGGUAAUGACAAGUAAAUAUCGAGAGAUAGCACCCUAACAACUCGUCCUCGAAGGAAGCUAGCUCGAAGCAACUCCCUUAUCCGCGAUCCCUGCCUCACCUGCGUGGAAGGCUCUGAAAACAAUCGAGAAAAAGAGGGCGUCGAGAACUAUAAUUUAUAGUUCCCAGUGGGCAAUUACUGACCUCAGCUCAUGCACCACUAGGCCCCAAAAGAAAAAGGGGUAAGUAACGACAUAUAGUAAAAUGCAAUAAAUAGCAAACACAAGAACUGUGAAAGAAAGCAUGAAUGAAAUGCUAUACUACUAUGUCUCUAAAUAAGCAUGAUGUCAUGGUGAUGUACAUCUCGCUAACAAAUACGGUAAUAUAUCCAAUGCAUACUAAUAUGCCUCACACAUAAUGAACAAGUUUAACCUCAACUACCAUAUGCCAAAUAUACAGGAGUUCGCUCUAUCAGAGUAACCAGAGUAUACUAUGAUCCAUGCAUGAAACGGCAAGUGUACUAUAUACCCCAAUGCUAUGUCAUAUGAGCAGUUCACUAAUCCAACUUACUACCUAAUCUAGUAGCGAUUAUUCAUUCUCAAACCCGUGUCGUUCUCUAUUUCCAAUCAAGCGACCUACCAAAGUAGUCCAGCUUGUGCCGCCUAAGUGCCUGUGGUAGCACACAUCCUACUCUUGGAAUGUGUCUGUCCCACUCGACCCCGUAGGCUUCUCAAUACCGCACGAAUGCGAACAAAAGCCGCGUAGGCUAACUCCGGAUGCCGGCUUGAGGGAGCGACCCUCCACAAGCAUGUGCGAAUGAGCACAAAUGGCAAGCAAGCAUAGUCACAGUCUCAAGUAUCCAACCCUCAUGUCUCUGACAUGGCUAUAGUCACUAGCAUCUCGAAGAUCUAGUUCUAUGUCUCAAAUGAAGUUCCAACAUUCUUAGGUCUAGUGCCGCCUUUAUGACACUUAAGACAUUUAAUGUUUAAGCAUGUUCCACAUUCCUCAAUGGCCCUAUCUACUAGGUUCAUACAUGUCCCAGACUUAAUGCCCGCUUGAUGACAUUAGCUCUCUAGUUCACAUACCUUCUAAAUGGCAUAUUUGUCAACUUUCAUGUCUCAAUAAACUUAAAGUUAAAUGCAUGAAUCCAAUCUCAUUUACACUAUGGGAGCAUGAAACCACGUCUCUUAUAGAAUGCUAAUGCAACUAUAGCCUACUAAGAACUCUCUACUACAUAGAGGUCCAAAUUUUAUCAUAUAUAACAUUAGCCUUUUAAGCAUUCUAAAAUUCACAAUAAAUACAUAUAAACAAGAAUAUGCAUGCUUUUUCACUUAACAAUACUUAAUUAAGCACAAGAUGAAGAAUUUUUCAUUGUGUGGCUAGGUCAAACCCACGAACCGUCGCGUAGGGCCUCGCUUCGCCGAACAAAGUUGUCCCGAGUCGCUCAAAAUAUCUAAAGUAUAUUGAGCGACAAGUACACGGGCAUAACGCAUCAACUAUAAGAUAAAUUUUAACCAAAUUUAGCAAAAGGGCUAAAACUCACCCAAUGUGUGGAAAAUCUCUCCUAAGCUCCAAAGGGGAGCUAGAAUCCUUCCAAUCCAAGCCCAAGGAAGGUUCUAAUCCAACCAAUUUAGGUCCAAAAGCCCUAUAUCAAAAAUGCCCAAAUAUAAGCCCUAAAACCUCAUCUAGGGUUUUAUCUUAAAGAAACCUCCAAAAUUCAAAUCUAGAGGAAAAGAUCUAGUCACUUACCUCUAGGAAGCUUCAAACCAAGCUCAAAGUCCUCAAACUUCAAGGAUCAUCCCUCAACCAAGCAUAAACCCAAGCUCCAAUGGUGGGAAAAGCCUCCAACACCCAAAAAUGAGCAAAAAGAGAGGCUUUAAUCUCUCUAAAUCUAAAUAAAACCAAAGGAAUCAAAGGGGAGAGUGUGGAGGGCUCCCUCACCUCUUCUCUUGCUGGUCCCAAGCUUAGGAGAAGUCCCAACGGCGUGGGGGAAACAUAUAGAGAGCCACAUUUGCGAAAAACCCCCUGCAGUUCAAACUGCUAAGAUUCUGCCAAAGUGUACCGGUAUACGGGAAAGUGUACCGGUACACAUCCUACGAAAAUGCAAACCCGAGGCUCGGGUUUGAAAUUCGCCACAAGUGUACCGGUACAACCAUCAACAGUGUACCGGUACAAAAUGUGUACCGGUACAGCCAUCGACCUGUCACCGGUUACACCUCGUGCAGAAUGCAAUCCGAGGGUAGCCUAAGUCCAACACUUUAGUGACCUUAGCGCUACAUAAAAUACUACAAUUCUCGGGAUGCGAGCCAUAGGUCGGAACACUGUCAACGACCCACCAGGAAGUCUGGAAAAACUCGGGACACUGUCCAAACACUCGAACCUCGCAAUUUGCAAAGAUCCAGUGCGUCACACUAUGAUUGUGGGAUUGUGAGUUAGCGAUACAUGUUAGUGGGUUAGGUUCUAACCCGGUGGACCUUUCAUAGGUUCGGUUGCACAGUCUUCACAGUCGAGAGAUUUUCGUCAGACACGUACAGGUGGGUACUUCGAUCCGACGUCGGUACAGUGGUGCACGCUCGGUGACGUUUCCUUUGCCCUUAUUGUUUAUAUCAUUUACCUUAUACAUGUUGAGCCUUGCACCCAUGCUAUUUCCUUAUUUACUCUACUUAGUUGUUGCCAGGUGUAGUAUCAUGUUUAGGAGUAGAGUAGACUUUAUUUGUAUAUGAUAUCUGUGACCUGGUCGGUCGGUUCUCCUAUUUGCAUAUGUGACCUGGUUGGUCGGUUCUCCUAUUUUCAUCUAUGAUUUGGUUGGUCUGUUCUCCUAUGUGAUCUCCAUGACCUGGUUGGUCGACGUUGCAUCUCCUAUACUUCUGACCUGGUUCAUGGAUUUGAUUACAUAAUGACCUAUGUGGUUGGUGUGCCCUGGGGGGCAGGAUUGUCGGCUGGUUGCCGACGGUUGAUCAUUGAGCAUAUUGCAUUCAUCGCCCGAUACUCGUCGCAUUUCACGAACAUUGGCGGUCUGAUCCACCGCAAGGGGUGUUAUUUUCCGGAAAAGUGGUUGUAGGUGUCAACCCGUGAGCCCUAGAGGGGUUAUAUGCAUUGUAGAGUAGUAGUGGCACUGGCUUGAGGUUUGCGGUGCGGACCAAGAGAGCAUUGGUUUCAGAUUGGCUACUUUUGGACUGAUUGUCCCGUUGAUGCAUGCAUACAGUAGCUAUAGCGAUUUAUCUAUACACAUUUCAUUACAUGUUUAUCUUAGCGACUGUACUACCAUUAUCCAUAUCCUUGUUUAUCUCCGUGAAUAGUGAGUACUCCUCGCCCUCGUCGGCUUGCGGUACCCACUCGGAGGGGAGACAUGUUUACAUGUUCUCACCCCCCACCCUCAUUACAGGUGACGUCGUAGGUCCGAGUGGGACAGCUGGUGAGGAGCGUGUCUAGCGUAUGAUAGAGCUAUGUCCCGUGUUGGUUAUUUCUUUACCCUUCAUGCUUGAAUAAAUAACUUAGACAUUUUAUGGUUCAGUUUUGUUAUAUUAUUUGAAUAUCUGAGUUUUCAGUUGGAUUUAUGAUGUAAUAAAAAGGAUUUGUGGAUUUCAAAUGUUGAAUGGUUUUCUACCCCUCGUGGUAGCAUUUCUAAAAGAUAAAAGUUUCCGUGUAGGGAACAGUUUUUAAAAGGUUUUCUGUGGAUUUUGUAUCUUAGUAUUUCAAAACCUGUUUCUGGGUUGGACACGUUUUAACUGAUAGAUGUAGAUUUAUGUUUAAAUAUUGAAUGUAUAACUGUAAUGUGAAUGGUGAAUGAAUGAUUGUAUAGUUGUUUCUAUAUUCAUUUAGUUGUGGUUGUAUCCAGUUUACUUGUUGUACUUGUGUGACGCCGUGCAAAUAUAGGGGAGACUAUGUCCAUGUGAUCAGUGAACUCUCUGUAUUUGUGGCGGAUCUGGCAUACCCUGGGGUCAGGUCUUUCAAAAAAAAAAAUUUCUAGCUAUUUCCGUUGUGCUUUAAAAUAAAAAUGGACCCCGAGGAGUGACAGAUUAAAGUAGUAUCAGAGCCAAGUUACAACCACAACACCAUUCACAGGUUGUUUUGAAAAACAAAAUAAACUGAGCCAUUGGUUAGGUUGACCUUUUGGAAGACCUACGAUGUAUAGGCACAUGAGUGCGGGUUUUGGGCUCGAAUUCUAGUUGGUAGUAGUCGAGUCGAUUAUUUGACUGACGGUGUUUUCUGUUGCAGAUGGCUCGUGGUCCUGGUAGACCUCCUCGUUGGGGUCGUGGCGGUGGAUGCGCCACUGAGGGGGCAUCGGACAGUCCUGGAGGGCGUGUCCUGAGGGGCAGGGGUAGAGGGGAGCAGGUCGGCCCCGAGCAACUGGGUGAUGUCCAUACCCAACAGCUUGAGGCCGAGGUAGCAAUGAUGAGGGGUCAGCUGACGGCCCUCUCGGGGAUGUUCCAGCAGUUUAUGCAGCAGCAGACUGCAGCUGCUGCUUCCCCAGCUCCACCUCCGACACAGCCGGCUCCAGUUACUGCGGACACUCCGGUGAUAUCUCCACUGGCUACAGCUCCGACUGGCACGACGACGACGACGACUACCACGACGGUUUCCGCUGGGGGUGCUAAUACCUCUGCAGCGGAGGGCGAUCGCAUGCGGGCGAAGUUGGCCCAGUUCAGGAAGUUCGACCCACCUAAGUUCGCUGGGAAGAAUGAUGAUGCAUGGGUGAUCGAGCACUGGGCAACCCACAUGGAGAAACUAUUUCGCGAUCUCCAUAUUGAGGAGCAGGAUCGCGUUCCUCUGGCCGCUCAUUGCCUUGAGAGGGAUGCGUAUGCAUGGUGGAUCCGCCACUUCGUGAACAAGCUCUCAAGCAUCUAUCCACCCUGGGAGGAGUUUCGGAGACUCCUAUAUGAGCAGUACUUCAAGGACAGUACGAAGCAGAACUUGGAGCGCGAGCUGGAGCGCCUUAAGCAGGGUAACCGUACUGUGGCGGAGUACGAGCGAGAUUUCAGCCGCAUCAUCGGGCUGAUCCCCUUCACGGUGAGGGACGAGUACCACAAGGCCAAGCUUUUUAUCAAGGGGCUGAGGCCCAACAUUCGGCUCUUAGUCGCAUCCAAUGGCGCGAUACCCUUUGACGAGUGUUUCGACCGGGCUCUUAUAGUGUAGAGCGAGUCGGAGGAGGUUUGAGCUGAUCGCGAUGCAUCCGAGCGAUCGAGGGACAGGAAGCGUUCCCAUUCUAAGUCUAGCGGUGGCUCUUCUUUCAACAAGAAGCCACCGAAGCAUCCUCGCACUCAGCAGUCGGCGAAGAGUCACCCUCCGGCAGUCAGCGACGCGGCGGUCGACCCUGUGUGAUUUGUGGGCAAGCACACCGGGUGACCGACUGUCCGCGGAGGAGGGACCACUGUUUCUGUUGUGGUCAACCGGGCCACCUGCAAGCACAGUGCCCUAUGAGAAAUGGGGCUAAUCAAAGUGCUGCCUCCUCCCCAGCUGCAUCCCAACAGAACCAUGGAGCUCUUAGCACAGCAGCUUCGUCUGGGCGUCCCUCCUCCUCACGCCAAAAUGAGGGGGCGCGCCAAGCAUCUCGUGGACGGGUAUUCGCCCUAACUCAGCAUGAGGGCAACACUGGUGGCGGCGUCCCUCGUAGCUUAUGGUACUCAAAGGUUAAAUCAUCACAAAUCUUCGAUUCUACAAGCUCCGGAAGGAGGUUCAACGCGUGGAUCUCGCGUGAAGCCGAGGAUUCGGUGGACGCUUCGAGGAGUUGAGGCGUUAACGCUUCGAGGAGUUGAGGCGUUAACGCUGCGAGAAGUUGCAGCAAGGUCGAUUAGUGGAUUCCUAUCGAUCGAGGACCGGCGAAGAUCACCAUCAACAAAAAUUCGGUAAAUUGAGUCGUGUAUUUUUGUCAAAAUCAUUUGUAUUCAAGUUUUCUUAGUGGAUUUUCUUCGCGUGAUCGGUCCCGUGGGUUUUUCACUCCGAAUUGGAGUUUUCCCACGUUAAAUUCUCGGUGUGCUGUUUUAUUUUCCGCUACUUUGUUUUAUUUGCAUCGAGAUUUUCGAGUUUGCCGUUUUUACACCUAUUCACCCCCCUCUAGGUAUUACUUACCUUUUAGAUCCUCGGGAUCCAUAUCUUACAUUCGGGACUUCCGGUGAGUUACGGUGAUCGGUUUUGGGAAACCGAUUCGGGGAUCUGUGUGGGGGUUUGUGAGAUAGUGUACUUCAGGUGAGUGGGUUGGUUACUGACCCGUUGGAUCUUCAACUGACCCGUUGGAUCUUCGUAGGUCCAGUCGACUUGUGCGUACCCAGUGUUUGGACGCGACAGUGACAGGUGGGUGCUUCGAGCUGGUAGUCGGUGAGAGUGUUUCACCUCCUUCUGUUUUUCUAUUCUAGCAUUAUAGUCUCUUCAUGUCGUUGUUUGUUUAUCGUUCGGUUAUCCUAUCUCGUUGAUUGCAUUUGGAUAGGUGUGGAUAGACAUGUAGAGCAGGCUUACAUUUAUACUUUGCAUCUCUGUGGACCUUGGGUCCAGGCAACACAUCGACUCCUUUGUCGUGUGUUUCGAUCUGGUUGAUCGUGAUUCGGCAUUGUACGCCCUAGCAUCUAUCAUAGUUCGGCGUUGUACGCCCUUGUUGUUGGCUUCGGCCUAGGCACCGGCUUUAGCCGGGUUUGUUUUUGUUUGAGCAUACCAGCAUGACUUAGUCACAGCACUUGGGGGUAUUCAUGACACCGGAUCGAUUUGGCCACCGAUCGGAGGUAUACUUAUCCGGAUAGGUCGUCCUGUGGGGCGGAUGGAUCAGGUCGGUGCAGUUAGUGACAGGCAGCGCUUGAGGUCUGCGGACCAAUAUAGCAGUAUCAGAUUGGGUUUGGUUUUGGACUAUUCGCCUUUGAGGCAUCUGAUCAGUUGAGUUUUUAUGACAGUAGUAGUUUUAUUCUUGCUCAGUUAGUAUCUUGUUUCUAUUACUACUGUAGUCGCUCUAAUAUCACAUCAUGUUCAUAUCUAUGCUUCUGUUUCAUAUCAGCAUAUAUAUACUUGUUUAUCUAUCUCCUUUGGUUUCUGAUGAUUACGGCUUGCCUUCGUGGCUCUGUCGUACCCACUGAGAAAACCAUGGUUGCGGUUUCUCACCCCCCAUUUCCCCCCUCCAGGUGACAUAGACGAGGAGUUGGAUUUUGGGCUCGACGAGAGGACGAUCUAGCUAGUCUGGUAUAGCGAUCGCCACCCUGGUUGUAUUUCAUUCCUGCUUUUAGUAGUUUAAAUAAAUGGUUCAGUUAGAUGAUCAUACUUGAUGUUUGAAUGUUGUGAGCUGGUUGAAUUCGUGGAUUUGUGGAUUUGGUUUAUGGAUCUUCAGUUUUGGGAUUUUUGUAUACUUUAUGGCUCUCGGAUUUGUAUUUAUGGAUUUACGCUUCGUGGUUUUCUAUCCCUCGAGGUAGUCGGUUUUCAAAACAGAGUUUCCAUGUGGAAACAGUUUUCAAAAGGUUUCGAAUGGUUUUCAUGUAUGAAUGAAUUAGAUUUUAAAAAUAAAGCUUCCGUGUGGGGAGCACUUUUAAAUAGGAUGAUUGUUGUACUGUGCAUUGCAUCAUCCAGCGCCUAAGGAGUGCUUAGAGGCAUGCAUCAUCUCUAAGGAUUAUUAGCUGUAUGAAAAUGCAUAUCAUGAAUUGGUUGUUGAUUGGUAAUUGUAGAUUGUAGUUGAGAUCCUGUUGUAUCGUUGGUACGCCGUGCAAAUACAAAGGAGACUCUGCCCGAGUGGACAGAGGAACUUUGUAUUUGUAGCGGGUUUGUACGUCACGUGGGCCAGGUUGAAAAAAAAAAAAUGGCACAUCUUCUGCGACUCUGAGCUUUCAAAAUGGUAAUGGCUUUUAAAUUUGGCCGCAGGGCGUGACAUGUCGACAAGCCUUAACAGCAGAAUACCAGGGAUCUCACAGUACAGGUAGUAUUCAUUUAUUUCUUUUAGAAAGAAACUUAGCUGAGAAUGAAAAUCAACUAAGAUUCGAAUUUGGGAUCUCGGACACCAACUAUCAAAUCUUUUACUACUUGCGGUAGAAACAGUCGACGACUUGGUCUUUAUUGUUCUUGAAGAAAGGUAGCGCACAACCAUUCUAAUGGCUAUGAUGCAAUCUUUGCCCAUCAAUUAUUUGCCAAAGGAGAUUAGAUAAAGUAAGACUUAUUACAAAAUGUUGCAAUGUCACAAGUCCCAAUCACUUGAUUGCUACUUUUGCCUACCUAGUGACUAUGGACCACGUCCAAAUCUUAUCCUUUGAAAAGAAGCACAACUUUUAAGCCGCAAGAGCUAUUGGCAUUUUAUAUGAUUGAAUGUGCUAGCAUAUGAAUUUUAUUAUUAUUGUAAUUGUUGAUAUUUUUCUAAAGCACGUCGGCUGGAAAUAUAGAGCACAUUGCAUAUAAAAUAACAAAGAAGUAAAAAAAUAAAUAAAUAAAUAAAUAAAUUUUAAAAAAAUUGCCAUAAAACUGUAAGCAACAUAUUAUGCACAUGCACACCUAGCUAGUCAUGUACAACAUGUAUUUAUAAGAAAUAAAACUAGAGUAAAGAUACCAGGGAUGAUCUUACAUUAUAUAUUUUUAAUUUUCUGGACGUACAUACGUGGCUCAGUUUAAUCUAUUACAUUUUCAACUCUUUUAUACUUGCACUACAACAAAAACGGUAUAUAGCGACACUUUUAAAUGUCAGUACAAAUCAAAAAAAGUGCUGCUGUGUCAUGCCCCGGGGUCCCUUUUAGGUUAAAACACAGCGAAAUUUUUUUUUUUGAAAACCUGACCACAGGGUAUGCCAGAUCCGCCACAAAUACAAGGAAUCCACUGUUCACACGGACAGAGUCUCCCCUAUAUUUGCACGGCGUCGCACAAGUACAAGAGUAUAAUCAGGAUACAACCACCAUAAUAAAUAAACAAUAAUCAAUAUUCAUUCACCAUUCAUCACAAAUUUACCAUUCAUAAUUCCACGACUAUUAGUUAAAACGUUUCCAACUCAGAAACGGGUUUUG
rnacentral:lncRNA from 1 species